rnacentral:rRNA from 1 species
AUUUGCUAAAGAUUCAUCGCUGAUAGAUAGGCAUGCGUUCCAUUAGGCAGUUGGCGGGGUAACGGCCCACCAAACCGACGAUGGAUAGGGGUUCUGAGAGGAAGGUCCCCCACAUUGGUACUGAGACACGGACCAAACUCCUACGGGAGGCAGCAGUGAGGAAUAUUGGUCAAUGGCCGAGAGGCUGAACCAGCCAAGUCGCGUGAGGGAUGAAGGUUCUAUGGAUCGUAAACCUCUUUUAUAAGGGAAUAAAGUGCGGGACGUGUCCCGUUUUGUAUGUACCUUAUGAAUAAGGAUCGGCUAACUCCGUGCCAGCAGCCGCGGUAAUACGGAGGAUCCGAGCGUUAUCCGGAUUUAUUGGGUUUAAAGGGUGCGUAGGCGGCCUUUUAAGUCAGCGGUGAAAGUCUGUGGCUCAACCAUAGAAUUGCCGUUGAAACUGGGGGGCUUGAGUAUGUUUGAGGCAGGCGGAAUGCGUGGUGUAGCGGUGAAAUGCAUAGAUAUCACGCAGAACCCCGAUUGCGAAGGCAGCCUGCCAAGCCAUUACUGACGCUGAUGCACGAAAGCGUGGGGAUCAAACAGGAUUAGAUACCCUGGUAGUCCACGCAGUAAACGAUGAUCACUAGCUGUUUGCGAUACACUGUAAGCGGCACAGCGAAAGCGUUAAGUGAUCCACCUGGGGAGUACGCCGGCAACGGUGAAACUCAAAGGAAUUGACGGGGGCCCGCACAAGCGGAGGAACAUGUGGUUUAAUUCGAUGAUACGCGAGGAACCUUACCCGGGUUUGAACGCAUUCGGACCGAGGUGGAAACACCUUUUCUAGCAAUAGCCGUUUGCGAGGUGCUGCAUGGUUGUCGUCAGCUCGUGCCGUGAGGUGUCGGCUUAAGUGCCAUAACGAGCGCAACCCUUGCCACUAGUUACUAACAGGUAAAGCUGAGGACUCUGGUGGGACUGCCAGCGUAAGCUGCGAGGAAGGCGGGGAUGACGUCAAAUCAGCACGGCCCUUACAUCCGGGGCGACACACGUGUUACAAUGGCGUGGACAAAGGGAAGCCACCUGGCGACAGGGAGCGAAUCCCCAAACCACGUCUCAGUUCGGAUCGGAGUCUGCAACCCGACUCCGUGAAGCUGGAUUCGCUAGUAAUCGCGCAUCAGCCAUGGCGCGGUGAAUACGUUCCCGGGCCUUGUACACACCGCCCGUCAAGCCAUGGGAGCCGGGGGUACCUGAAGUCCGUAACCGCGAGGAUCGGCCUAGGGUAAAACUGGUGACUGGGGCUAAGUCGUAACAAGGUAGCCGUACCGGAAGGUGCGGCUG